rnacentral:snRNA from 1 species
GGACAUGAGGGUGAUCUGGCUGUGACAUCUGUCAACCCCACUGACCACCGGGGCUGAUUAGGCUGAUCUGUCUGGCUAGGCGGGUGUCCCCUUCCUCUCUCACACCUGGCCAUGUUCCCCAAAUAGGGACAGACUGAGGGCGUAUAAGUAGCUGCCCUUCCUUGCUAGAAGCUCUAAACAAGCUCUCAAGGCCCAAACGCACCUCAAUGGCAGAAAUGGAGAAAAUGUCUCCAAUGGUGAGACAACCAGCUUCAAGAAACCCAAAAUCAUUAUGUGCUGGUGUCUAGUCCACUCUUA